CGCGCGCAGAGGGGCGCGCAAAGGGCGCGCAGCGCUCCCGCCGCCAUCGUCCCCCCGCCAGGUGCGCGGCGUCCGCGGGCCCGCGUUCAAAACAACCGAAGCGUCGGGGAGGACGCGGGCAGGGAUACCCCCGGGGCUGCCCCGCACCCCCGCGGCGCGGCUCGCAAGUCGGCGACGGGCAACGCGGCGCGGGCCGGCUCUCGGGGUCCCUCUAGCGACACGCGUGGGGACGGCGGGCGGGCGGGCGGGCGGCGGAGCCGGCGCGGCUCGGAUCGGCUCGGCAUGGCACGGCACCGGCAUCGCGGCACCGGCACCGCGCGGCGCUGCCCGGUUCGGCACGGCGCUGCCCGGCGCGGCUCGGCACGGCUCGGCGCGGCGCUUACCUUGGCGCUGGCGCUGCCGCUGCCGCUCUCAACUUCUGUCGGCGGCGGGCCGGGGAGGAAGGCAGGCUGCCGGCAGCGCUCAUCCGUGUGUGCCCCGGCGCUUGCCAUGCUGCUGUCCGGCCCUGGCAGCGAUCGCGGCUCUGGCUCGCCUUCCCCGCGCCCUGGCUCGCUCUCCUCGCUUUGCCUUUUGGUAUGUCAAGUCCCUGCUUGAUUUGGUCUGGAGGAUGUUAUUUUGUUACGAUCAGGUAUUUUGUUAUUCUAGAGAGCAGGCGAGCGCUUCCCUUUUCUUUCUUUCUCCUUUUCUUUCUCCUUUUCUUUCUUGUUUUUCCCUCCUUUUUUUUUUCUUUUUCUUUUUUUUUCUCUCUCUCUCUCUUUUUUUUUUUUUCCUCCUGGUUUUACCCCCUUUUCCUUUUUUUCCUCCUCUUUCUCUCCUCCUGCCUUGACUGCCCCUUGGGUGGCUCUCACUUUUUGGUUGUUGUGGUGUUUACUGACUGCGUCCCCUGGCUGGGGCUGAGGGGCCGGCUGCCUGCUGCCCGCUGCUCCCGGCUGGCUGCCCCACGAGCGAGGAGACGGGCAAGGCGCUUUAGCUGCCCCCCUUUUAUACCCCCCCAAUGGGCAUGCUCUGACUUCCCCAGCGAGCACCAGCCCGGCCACGCAGCCAAUAAUGUUGCAGAGCGAUCCCUCCCUCUUUCUCCCUCCCUUCUUCGUAACCCUGCGAAGUCCAGCUCGGGGAGCGACGGGAAGUUUCAAGCCGCAGGCUUUCCCCGCCCGGGAGGGGGCUGCAGUCCACCCCUGCCGGCCGCUGGGUGGGCUGGGGGCCGCGCAUCCUCCGCCUCCCCCCGCAGGUGAGGGCGGACGGCUGGGGGUUGCGUCCCCAACCCCUGCCCGAGGUGCUGGGCCGCCUCUCCCUGCCCUCCAGGGAACCGAAACCACUGUGGGAUGAUCGGAAGCAGCGGGAUGUGGCCGUGCCAGCCCUGCUUUUGGGUCCCGCUCUGACUGCGCUCAGGGCACAGGUGGCUGUGCCAUCCGUCCUGCUCUGUGCCGGCCCCGCAACAUCUGCAUGGCAGUUGCGGGCACGCAGGGGUGCUGGAGCACGGCCCCCCAGGUUCACACCGGGGCUCUGCCCUGCGUUACACACCACUGUGUUGGCAGAUGCAAGCCCCGCUUUGCCUGCACACGUCUAGGGACAGCACGGAUGCCCGUGCUGCACGGGGACGUUUGGAUUUGGCACCCCAUGGUACCUCCUGACAGCAGUGUCUGCUCUCUGGGCUGCCCCUGCACCAUGCCAACUUGUGCAAGCAAUUGCUUUUAAGCCAAAAGGACUUUUCCCAGGCUUUGCCAUGAAGCAGCGUGUGCUCUGAAUUCGCCCCCACUGCAAUCGCCACUCCACCACCGGAGCUGCAUGAUGAUCACACCGGACUGCAUUGUGCACAGCUCACCUCCCAUAAACCUGCCCCGCUGGGUAGUGGCUGCCCCAGGGGUGGGCUGCAAGGACCCCACUUGCUUUCCACCAGCGGCAAAGGCAAAGUCCCGGAACACUCACAUCCCAGGCACCGCAUGGGUGGCUGUCAGCUCGCGGGGAUGCGCAGCUCAAGUUGCAGUGCAAAGCAUGCACCCACCCACAGCAGGCAGGGGCAGAGCUGCCAGCACUGCGCCGCGGGCUGCACAUCACAGGUGGUGCUGGCGGUAGGCAGUGGCACGAAGGGGUGAGGGCUCAGCAAAACUCAUUGACGUGCACUGAGAAAACUCUUUUUAAAACAAAGUGUUCGUGUUUGUAGCUUUUUUUUUUUCUUUCGAGAAUAGAGAACUCGGCGCCUCUCUGAACAGCUGGAAUUGCCAUAAACAUGCCGACGAAAAUGUGAGGCUUGCGCAGGACUGGUCCCUUCCUGUUGAGCUUUGGAGGUCCUCCCCUGCCCAGCAUCCUUCUCGUCUGCAGGCUGUCCCCUGGGUUGUGUCACUGCACAUUGUGCCCGGCAGACUCCUUGGUGUUGGGUGGUGAGCAGCCAGCACUCCCGGGAGAGGAGCUGGGAAAGCACUUGUGUGCACAGUGUGCUCCAAUGUGGGCAUUAGAUCUCAGCUCCUAGUGUGAAGAACUGAUCUGGCUGUCAAAGAGAAUGGGCUCCUGAGAAGUCCCACUGGCGUCUUCUCCACAGAGGCAUCUCCACUGAUGCCCACCUUUGGCUGUAGGAGUUUCUCUGAGAUGCCCAGGACUUAGAACAUCCGUACCACGCGUCCUCGCUUUCUACUCAUCUCCUCGAGGAAGAUCGAGCACCUCUCCCCACCGCAAGCAAAACCCCAUCAAAGGGAAGGACUCAGUCUUGGCAGGGGGCUGUAAGCCCCUGUUAAUAGCUGAAGGAGUCGGCUCCCUUCCCUUCCCCCAGCUCAGCACAAGGACCUCCUGAAAGGAGACAAAAGAAAGCUUGGAGGGGGUUAAUCUCCCUGAGAAAAACAAGUGAUUUUCCAGUAAACAACUGCAAUAGCAAACAAUGGGGGUGAAAAAUAGCGAUCAUAAAAAAGUCCGCUCUGAGGAAGAGGCGACCCAAUAAGAGAGGUGUCCCUCUGGCUGGGGGGACAAACAAGGCAGCCUUUCGGCGCAGCUCCGGCGGCAGCAGCAAAAUGCACCCCACAAGUUGCCGAGUUGGGUCUACUUGGGCUUGUGCCUUUUGAUCUUUUAAUUGCUUCUUAGUUAUCCUUCAGUGCAAAUAAAUAGUGCAUUGUGUCAAGAAAGAGGAGGGGGGCGGGGAAGGGAAGAAAGAGACACAAAAGAAAGAGCUGUCGCCCAGAAGAGAAAAGGAACAGGUUCUUUCCCCCACCUUUAAAGGAGUGAAUGUAUCUGUAUUUAGGGGGGCGAAGGGGGAGAAGGGGAUGGGAUUAGAAAUCAAAGCGAAAUAGGAGAGAAGCGCAUUAAGCCUCGGGCAUCCUUACAGUAGGAAGAAGAGAGGGAGGUGGUAAAACCCUCAGGGAGUUUAUGCCGUGAGUUAUGAGAGGAUCCACGAGUGUAAUAUUGUUAAAGGUCAGCCCAAACCUAAUUUAAACUAGGGAUGUGUGACCUCCGCCCUUCAUUUAAUACAGUCAUAAGGAACAUUACACUGCAGAUAGCUGGAACAAUAGCUGCCUCCACCCCAAACUCCAGCCCCUGGCAUUGCCUGACAACAGGGCCCGAGUGGGAGGAGGACGAGGAGAGCCGAGGGCAUGGCUGGACCUGCGGCAGAGAGAGGCAGAGAUGGAGAGAGAAGGGCUGGGAGGAGUACAGCUUCCACCCCAGCAUCACAGGAAGCUUCUGGUUCCACCUGAAUCCAUUGGGAUGUCCAGGGGAUGCCCAUCUGCAAAGCCCCCAGUGGCACUGCCCAUUGGAGCCCACCCAAGCAGAUCUGGACAGCCACCUACACAUUGCCAAGGGCCUCAAGUUUUCCAGGGACAGAGGAGAGAACAGGAAAGCUGGGGCCAGGCCAGACCUUGCAGGCAGAGAUGGAAGAGGUCAUUUAAUCCCAGCUCAACCAAGGCACCCAUUGAUGCUCAUUUGGUUUAUUUCCCAAUGAGCAGGAAGGGGAUUUCUUGGCAUUUGAGUUGCACGGUUGACGCUCUGUGCCUGUCGCACUAUGAAGGUCCCCCUAUUUGUAAAGCACCUCACAUUCUCAUUUGUCACCAUUGAGGACAACUGGGAGGAAUCAGACUGUGCUACUGACAUGAGACCACAGGAGGGUGGGGGCAGUUCCUGAGUUGGCAUCUCCUGUCCUUGAAGACUGGCAGAAAAUGUCAUCACAAGACAGAACGGACAGUGAUCAGGAUGAGUCCUAAAUGCAACCAUUUAAUGGCAGAGAAGUGAUCUUAGUUCGCCCAGAGUGUUUUUCAGUGGCUUUGAGAAAGUGAUACCUUUUGUUUAGUACAGCCCAGGAAAUUGGCAAUAACACGGUGUCCUUGUGUGCUGCUAAAAUAUAUUGAUCUCGGGGCAACUGGAACUGUUUGAACGGGAGAGAUUCAUUGGCGACAGGGGAUGUGAUAUAUGUAAGGUCCCUGCAUGAAAUUGAAGUCAAAGAACUCAGAGUGGGAGAAAUAAUUCACCUGGGGCCCAUGUUCAGCAAGGAGCAAACAAGAGUGGAUGCCAAGAGGGUCUGCUUAGGUCUCCUUGUGUCUGCUGCUGGGUUGUUAUAUGGGGAGGGUCAUCUUUUUGCAUGUUCAGGGGGAAAGGGGACUCUUGGAGCAAAUCCUGCCCUGGUCUGCUGAUGCCUCGGGGCACUCGUUGGACUCGAGGGUUGCUGGCAGAUGCACGCUAAGGACCUGGAUGCUGCUGAACACUGCAGAACUGAAGUUCUUCAGAGGUAUAUUAUUGCAUUGUGCCAGAAGAAUUUGUGACAGCAGUUAAAGGCACAGGUGUUUUCACCCCUAUUUAUACGGAGGACAAACUUGCAUUUCUGCAGACUGGACAGACUUGGUAUUCCUGUAGCAUCCUUUAAAACCCAAGGCACUGUUUGCAGCAUGGCCAAAGCCAGGAGGCUGAGGGCUGGGUGCACCAGAGGGUCAGACCGUCUCAGGGAGAGAGGGAUGUGUCUCCUCUCUCCCCACCAUCUGUGGAAGGGAAAGCAUCUCUUGGUCAUCCCCAGCUGCCAAAGUGGACACCUAAAAGGGAUUUCUGAGAAGGGUGGGAUAGGGUAGAUAAGGAAGAAUGCUUCCCCUCUCCUCUGUUUUAUUGUUGUUGGUUUUUUGUUUUAUUUUAUUUUAUUUUAUUUUAUUUUUUGCAGAGGGAGCCUGGAAGGCUCCAAGUUUUGUCUGAUUAUUCAUGUCAAAAAUGUUCAACAAACACAGUAGCAGAAGGAGAAUGGGUCUGUGGGUCUGUGCCUAUAUUAACAGCUAAGCACAUCACAAUUUCCUGUUCCCCCCCCUCCCCCCCCUUUUUUUUAAAGCAUUUCCAUGGAAAGGCUCACAGGAAUGUCAUACAGAGGAAGAAGUCCAAGCUCCUAAAGGACCAAUAAGAGCUCCAGCAGGCACAACUGGUUCUUCCAAGCACCAGGAGAUGAGGUUGGCUCUUCACAGCAUCGUGCAAAUACAGGGCAUUAUGUAUUUCCUUCUGGAGCAAGUCCAUAUGCUGUCCAUGCACUGACUAUGCUUUGGCCCAGCACCUUAGAUCUUCUCCUUGCCCCCCUGAAGCCUUCCAGCUCUGCCACUGCCUCCUGCCCUCCCAACCAGUUCAGCUCACAUAUUUCAGACAUGCUUUAAAGUUGCAUACUUGGAGUGCUCCUUUGCUUCUCCUCAGAAAAUUAGACAAGAGCCAGAGGGAAGUGUCACACUCCAACAGGUUGUUUUCCCAGGUGCCCAGUGCAGGUGGUGGCACUGCGCACAGAUGGUGAUGCAUCGUAGGGAAUAUAUGUGGGGCCCUUAUUGAGUGCGGAGAGGUGGAGUGGUGCAGAUACAUCUCUGUUGUGUAAUUAAUGGCCUUGAAAAAAAAAAAAACCCAGCCUGUUGGCUAAGCCCGAAUACCUCUGAGGGGUUCAGGAAUCCCAGCUAUGUAUCUUUCAGGCAUUUCUUCCUCUGUUUUUUUUUUUCUUUUUUCUUUUUUUUUUUUCCCUCGCAUUGCUGCUGUGCUUCAGUGUGGGUCUUUGUUUGCAGCUCUCAUUGUCUUGGGGCAGAGCAUUGGGUUGGGAGCUUCUCAGGGCCAGGGCUUCCCAUAUUGGGGAUCCCCAUGACCACCUCUGCUUGCCAGCCCCAAAUGGGGUCACCCCAUCACCCUUUCAGGCUUUUUGAUGGGAGAAAUGGAUAGAAGACAUAGUGAAGAUCCCAGAAGAAGGAAGGACAUGGGGCCCCGUGACCCAUGGGCAGGUGGCUGUCGAUAUAGGGAAAACGAGAAGCAUGGCAUCAUGCAUGUUUCACAUAACUCAUGCACAGCCUUCCUUUGCCACAGCUAUGGGCAAGUCACCUGUUUUCCCUGUGUUUUGCAUUCCCAUCCAUCAGUUAGGUGUGAGAAUACAUCUUCUCCCCUUUGCUUUGCUUUCUUAGGGACUGGGACCGACCUUGUUGGAAAUGAGCCUACUGAUGCCUACAGCUGGAAGCAGUUGCAUGGGACUUUGCAGUAGGUAACAUGGGGAUACAUGUCCCAGAACACAUUGCCCAUGCCAGGGGUGACGAACACUCUCACAGGGGAGCAGGAGACGUGCACUGAGCAAGUGAUGCCACUCGGGGUGACUCACUUGCUGUCUCCACGUCUCCUUCUCUUCAUCAGCUGAGGAUAACUCCUACUGGGAUACACCGAUCCUGACGUGCUUCAGCAUCUGGAAGAUCCUAAGAGGAAUGACACAGAGUGAUGGGAAGCACAGGCACGAUCCUGAACAUCUCCAUACCUUCUGUGGGGCAUAAGCCCAGGAGAGAGCUGGGGAAGGUCUAAAGAGGUUUCUAUUCUCUGUGUAUGUUUAUGGUGGGCAGACUCUGAAAAGGGUGGACUUUGCUUGCUUUCAGCAUCAGAGGUGCUAAUCCCAUGUGCCGGCAGCCCGAGUGUGUGUGUGGCCGGUGUGUUCCCAGCCCUCCACGAAGCCCUGAAAUCAAUGGGCAAAGGGUUAACUGAGCUCCCGAGGCAGGUGGGAGCACAGGUCAGGCUGAGUGAUAUCGCAGACAUGUUAUUUGAAAAGCUAAGAAAUUGUGGAAUUCCUCACCUAAUCCAACUUCCACACAGUUUAAAGAAAACUGCAGUGCAAGAUAUGUCUACGUCUGAAGGAGACCCCCCCCCCCUUCCCCACGAGCCUUCCCCUGUGUGCUUUAUAUGUGCAUAUAUGGAGCUCAUGCUGCAAGCCACCCCAUGUCCUGCUGGGCUUCCAGCCACUGGGAUCUGUCUUCUGGAAAAGCCCAUGAGAUGCAGCAGCACCGUGGGGAGCCAGGUCCUCUGCUCCAGCUCAGCAGCCCAAGGAGCUGAGCAGCUGUAUUGCUUUUGUAUUUAAUCAAAGCUGGGUUUAGCUGGAAAAAAAAAAAAAAAAGAAAAAAAAGAAGAUGUGGGGUGUGAGGCUUUAAUCUGGAAAGUUUUACAAAUGGAAAAAGGCAAUGACUAAGAAGACUUCCAGAAAAGUUUAGGCUUUCUUUUUUUUUUUUCUUCUCCCCCACAACAUUUCCUAUCGGUUCUUCAUAAAAAACAUUUUACAGGGUUCUGUUGGAAAAAGUGUUGCUUGCAAAAGGCAGGUGUUGGCAAAGGUGCCGGUCCUCUGCCUGGCAACUGUUGGCCCUCUCCUGACCAUGGUGGCCCUUUUCCAACCUGAACCAUCCCGGCAGCACUGUGGGCUGCAAGAAAAUUAAUGUGUUCUCUCGGGGAGUGGACAGGCAGCCUGAUUGCUGAGGCUUGCUGGAGUGAUGGUGGGACCAUGGUGUGCUCCUGCAUUGGCUCCUGGAAGGCUCUGUGAUGUCUUCAGCUUCUUGGAAUGCAAUCAGUAGCUCAGUGAUACUUUCUGGUUAGAGAAAUGUGCACAAUAAAGGGUGAGAAAGUCAACUGGUUUCCCUCUGGCUCCUGGGUGAGCUCUCUUUGGGAGUGACUGGAGGGUCCCUGGGCAUUUCACACCUUACAUUUCAGAUGUAGGCAGCCCUCAGCCCAUCCUCUUGCUGACAUGUCCCUGCAGGAGCAGAUGUGCUGAAGAGCUGCAGGGAAGUGGCUGGAGGGCUAAAUGUUGCUUAACCUCACAAAGAACCAUUUAAUGCAACAAACCAUUAGAGCUGAGGGUGAUCCAUCCAUCUUUAUGCGGUUCAUCCAUCCCAGUGAGGUUCAUCCAUCCCUCACUAAAAGCAGCAUCAGGAGCAGAGAGAAAUACAUGGCCAGGAUGGAGGAGGAAGGUCCCCAGACCUCUUGGCACCGUGUUAGCUGGAAAAUAGCUAAAACACUCGUACAAAAAAACUUUUGGUGAGGCAAUACAAAGAUCAGUGGAUAUCAAUUGCCUCUUGCAGACCCCAGCUUAAGACAUCCCCAGCUAUGAGAGGUGGCUGCACUGAGCCUCCGUAGGACUGCAAAUAUCUGAACAUGAUUAAUGAUUAGCAAGUGGACUAGAUGAUCUCCAGAGAUCCCAUCCAACCUCCAAGAUUAGGUGCUUCUGUGAUUAUAUUCACGGCAAUUGCAUCCCCGUUGCAAACCUGACUCUCAUUUGAUUUCUUCCAGGUGGGUUUUGUGCUGAGCCUUCCAAUUCUAGCAGGUAGAUCUUGGCGAGCGAGAGGAUUUUGUAUUUUUUUGGCCUGGAAGUGAAUUGUUUGGAAAUUUUUAAGAUUUUUUAUUAUUAUUUUUAGUUUUCAUUAAAAGCAACCAUUUCAAGUAUGUACGGAUCACACGGGUGUUUUGUAGUCAAAACAAUCAUAGUAACUGCAAAGAGGUGCCAGACUGGAACAACCUCUUCUGCAUUAAUCUAAUCAAAAGGAAAGAAGAAAGAAAGAUGCUUUCGAGAGAUAGAUUGAAUUCCAUUGUCUUUGCAUGUUAUAUAAGGAAAGAGAGAAAAAUCUAGCAAGGGAUAGCAGGCAUCCCCUACAAGAGACUUCUAGGGGAGUUGACUUACAAACGUGAGUGUCAUCAUGAGGUGAACAUUUGCCUGAGUCACCGGAGUGUUUCAAGACCUCUCAUCCCAAAUCCUGCUGAGACCCUAUCCCAGGUCCUGCCCCAAACCACACCUGUGUUGGGGAAGGCAGUGUUCCCAGGGGUCCCCCCUGCACCAAUACAAUUAGGGGCACAGACCUGUCUCUGCUGUAUGAUGCCCAUUUUACAGCUGCUUUCUCCCACCCUUUGCUGCCUUGGAGACCCACUAAAAAGAAGGAGCAGCAUCGCUGGGGUAUACAGAGUAGAAGAUGAGUCACUCAAAGCUUUUGCUCCCACUUUUGAGAUGCUCUUCCACACCCAGAUAAGGAGCAAUCUCCCAGGGAAGGGAGGUGGAAUACGUGGGACAGAUUUUAUUUAAACUAAACAACUGGCUUGGGAUGUUGGUGCUUGAUUUUUAAAUGAAGUGAUUCUAAAACUAAGAUUUUCUGGGUGUUACUCUGUCAGAUUCUGGCCUCAGGAGUGAAAACAGCUAAAAGUGGAAAUCUUGAUCUUUAGCAAUUUCUUUGGAGGAUUUGCUCUGGCUUUUCUGAAGAUCAUGGGAAGGAGAGUGUCCAAACCUGGCUAUCCUGGGGAAGGGGGCAGGAGAUGGCAACACUGGGCAGAAGUCAGCUGCUUCAAUGAGGUUUCCUGCAGGAGCUCCAUUAGUGUGAGCAUGAGCAUGGCACAAGCCAUGGUGCCCACAUCUCCACUGGGCUAUCUGAGGAAGAGUUUCUUUGGCCAUCAGACACAGUCGAAGCAAGACUUGCAAGGUAGGAUUUGUUACAUAGAUGCAGCAUUAUAGCCAAGGGAGAGGUGUCACCUCAGAGCUGCCACCACCAUGGAGAUCUGGAAAUCAUCUGGUUCUGCCCCAGUCACCAAUCCCAGCCAUUAGGUGCUCGACACCCAGCCAGUCAGCAGGUGUUAGCACUUGCCAUUCCCAGCUUGCUGUAAACGAGGCAGUCUUGUGUUUUGGAAUUGCCCACACCACGAGUGAGCAGAGUUUCUCCUCUCAGAUCUUAUGUUAAGUGUCUAUAAGCCAGAAAAUCAGGCAUCAUUGGGUCAAGAUACCAUCUAAAAGACAGGAGCAGGGAUCAGCACUGGAUGUAGUUGUGUGAAGCAGAAAGUGUCUUCUGCUGAGAGUGAGCAUAGGUAACAGUAGAAGAGAUUUUCAGUGAUGAAAGGGCCACAGGAUUUCCCACAGCUGCUGCCAGAACAAGCAUUUAAUGCUGUGGUGAGCAAUCAGCUCCCAUUUAAAAGGCUCCAUGCAAGCAAUGCAAGUCUCCUGUGUCAACAGCUGAACCAUCCCACUGGUAGGUGCCUCUUGCUUAUUGAAAGACAUUUCUAUUGCAAUGGGUCUGACUUCAGUUUCUGGCUUCCAUUGUGCCUUUGGCUGCUGUGCACCACAAGGAGCUUUCUCACAUCUGUUUCUUCUGGAGUAUCAUCUCUCCUAGCCUUACUGUUUUUGAUCACAGUGCAGUGAGCUGCCUUACUCCCUGGCAGCAAGGUAGGUUUCAGGCAGGUGAGGUCAUCCCUGAUGCUCCUUUCUGCUUCUUCCCCAGUUCCUUUUCAUCCUUGAUGUACUUUGCAUUGAGCAUGUGGCUCAUUGUUUUUUAUCAGGCUUUGUGAGGGGUGUUAAUCUGCCCAAGGCUGUGCUCAUUUAACUGGAACGUGUGUGGUGUCUGCAGGAAAUGCCCCCAGACGCAGCGUGAUGAGAUUUUCCCUUGCUCUCAGGGCUUUGCUCUGCCAGUGCUUUUGUGACAUAUUUAUCUGAUCCACAUCAGCAUCCCCUCGUGGGCUUGCCCUAGCUCAAUCCCACUGACACCUGGCUUUGUUACAUGGCUCUCUAAUCACUGAUCUGCACGGAAACAAGUUUCCAAAUUGCCCGUUUUUGCUUGAGGAGGUUUCAUUUAAGCACCUGAGGGAUAUGACUGGUUAGGAGAGGAUAGGGCUGAUGUGCAUUUGGGUAACUAAUUAUAUUUCUAUUAUCGUAUGUGAACAGAGAGAUUCCUUCAUUGCUGAGGCGCUUCACUGGAGAAUUACUGAGACCCUUUUCCUAAGCCAGGAGACUGUUACAGAUCCUGCUAGCUGGUAAGUCUUUAAAUUCACUCAAGUCAAAUUAGCUGUGUGUCACUCUAUUUGUCCUAAAUUUGAAUGGAGCUCUGCCUUAAAUACUUGGCAGGUGGGCAUCUGUAAGAGCCCCAACACAGACCUGAAUUAAUAGGGCAGUUUUCACUUGGGGGAUGCUCAUCCACAUACCUGAGAUCUUCAGAGGUUUUCCCAGCAGGUCUGUGCCCUGUUAUCCUGUAGCAGAGCAUCCCCAGCCCAAAUCCAGGCGCAACCUUUAUUUCAGCUCCUAUUGCCCUGAUAAGGGUUUCAGAUGUUUCCCCUGUGCUUCCCAAACUCUCCUGGUCUGAAACACUGAGUGCUCCCUCUGCUGGCUAAAAUAAUAUUUCAUAACCACGCAUCCACACUGAAUAGACGUGGGGAGGGAGCACAGCCUUCCCAGGGUAGGUGCCACCUGUGGGACAUCAAUGCCCCUGUCCUUGCUGGUGGGGCAAGAAGGGCCAACAGCGUCUGACCCAGACUCAUCCUGAACCAAAGUUCCCUGAUAUGGUUUCCAAAUGCAAGGUGUAUAAUCCCAAAUACCUGUAUGAUGGAGAGAUGAAAAAAGCAGGUGGUGCAGCAAGAUGGGCUGGUGGUCGACCUCCCAAAGCCCCAGGACUCUUCUGCUUUGUGUGUGGGCACUGGCCCGCAGUAGUGAGAUGUGGGGAGGUAUUCCAGCUUUGUUUGAAAUGCUAAUAUUUCUAUUCAGGAUAUAUGCCUGUGCUCUGGAAGUCUUUCAGGGUCAGGGUGAGAUGGAAGAUUUUCUUUGGGGAUGGAUGGUUGGUUGUUAUGGGCCUAACCCUAAGCACAUUCAAAAGAGUAUUGCUGGCUCCAAAAUGGAUACCUAACCAGCCCAAAGCACUCCAUAGGCAUGUGCUACACCCAAGGGAAAAUUUCCCUGAAGAUGAUUUCUCAGCACAGCAGAACCUGCAGUUAGUGUGCUGGGAUGUGCCCAUUGGAGAAUGAACCAAAGGGAGCACCUCAGCUUCAGGACGUCUUCUCUUGGUGUUUCACAAAAAAUCCAGAUGUUAUGGUUUGAUGCUGUAGCAGAACUGACAGCUUUUGCUUAUAAUGCUGAAAUUCCUCCCUGCCAGCAUUUUCACUCUGUAGAUAGUGAGAUAGUUGAGUUACCUGAUAUCACAGCAAACAGUGUGAAGCCAUGGCCCCUCCAAGGUGGAAAAUUGGCACAAAAUGCAGUUUUUAUUCUAAGGAGCUUCCUGCAGCUUUUCCUUCUUCACCAGAAAUCCUUCACUGCAAUCUUCCUUCCCAUGGGAAAUGGGGAGGGGGCUGGGAGAGACACAGGCACCCAUGCUGUCCCAAGUCAGAUGCCCAUGUGUUGAGACUUCUUCAGGAGCAUGGAGUUUCAGAAACAUGACUCACAUUGGAGAAAUACUACUUUCAAACAAAGAUCAGAGCAGGAACAGCAGCAAAUGAACUUGUCCUUGCAGGCAUCUCGAGCAAUGACUAGUAGAUGGUCAUGUGUUUCCUGCCUUGGCCAGCAUCACCGCUGGGGUUGACAGACAAUAUGCUCACAGCACUCCAGCCCUCUCCUUGCUGCUCUACUCCAUGGCCUUGAUGCAAAUCAUUGCUCCAACAUGACACACUGAGCUCCAGCAGGAUUUUCUCUGACCUUGCAUUGUCUGGAUUUGUUUGCUCCCUCCAGUAUUUUUGGACGUCCCUGGUGCUGCUUGCCAUGCCCUGUGCCACCCACAUCCACAGGCAGAGGUGCAGGAUCCAGAUGUGAGCUGCCCUAUGCACUGUCCCCUGGCAGCCUGGAGGACUGCAGGGGGAAGGAAAGUCGUGGCAGGGAUCUGGCUUUAGCAGAUUCCCAGCAUUUUUGUGGUGCCCUAUUUUGGUGACAGAGCCACGGGUAAUUGCUGUGCUCUGGACAGAUAUGUGAAACCUUGGGAUCUUUUCCAGAUCAUGAGGACUGCAAAGUCCAACAUGAGAGACAAAUUCCUUGGGUAAGACUCCAGAAACCAAAGCUGUUUUAGGAAGAAACUGGGAUGC
rnacentral:lncRNA from 1 species